UCUAAUGGUGGUGCUUCCUUCUUUUGUUCGUUACAAGCUCGUAAAUGGCGUGCUUCUUUCAUGUGAGGCUCCUACAUAUAAAACUUGAAAUAAAAAAACAAAAAUAUAUAAAAAUCUACUGUUAGCCUAUUCUUAAAAAAUAAAAAUUGUCCAACAUUAAUUAUAAUAAAAAGUUUGGUCAAUCAUCCCCCUCCUCGAAAUCCAUCUUAUCCCCUUCCUCUUCAC
rnacentral:lncRNA from 1 species